rnacentral:rRNA from 1 species
UACGUAGGGAGCGAGCGUUGUCCGGAAUUACUGGGCGUAAAGGGUGCGUAGGCGGCGAAGCAAGUCAGAUGUGAAAUCCCCGGGCUUAACUCGGGGGGUGCAUUUGAAACUGCAUUGCUUGAGUGCAGGAGAGGAAAGCGGAAUUCCUAGUGUAGCGGUGAAAUGCGUAGAUAUCGGGAAGAACACCAGUGGCGAAGGCGGCGGCCUGGACAGAACCUGACGCUGAGGCACGAAAGCUGGGGGAGCGAACAGG